AUGCAAUGAUGUUUUGAAUUUCUUCACCUGAAAUAAUCAUGAAGUUUUUUUUUAUUGAGCUUUUUAACCCUGAGCAUC